GGGAGCAGAACCUCCCUUGACCUGCUGACCACAUCCUUCUUGAUGCAUCCCACAAUGCCAUUGGCCUUGUCAGCCACGAGGGCACAUUACUGGCUCAUGGUUAGUUUAUCGUCAUCCAGGACUCCCAGGUCUCUCUGCACAGCUGCUCCCCAGCAGGUCAGUCCCCAGGCUGUGCUGGUGCAUGGAGUUGUUCCUCCACAGCAGCACAACUCUGCACUGGCCCUUUGUGGCAUGAUUACUUAAAUGGCCUAAAAAUUAAAACUUAUGUUAAAAAUCAGCGUUGUUCAACAAUUAAGGAAAAGUAUAAAAUCAAGAAGGCUCACAGGGUGGAUACAGCUGCUGCUGCUAUGUGAGGAAUCCACAACACAGCAAUUCCCUGCAAAUACCAUGGAGUGUGGAGCAGAGUGGGGGCUCUGUGGUCAGAGUAUGUGAUGAUACUGGGGAAUGAGACGGUCCUCUAGAAAUGAUAAGCAGCUCUUUUGGUACCCCAAGCCAGUAAUCUGUCAAAUUUUGACAAAAUGCUCUUCCAGUGUGAACUUUGCUAUUUUUAAUGUCAGUUUAAUACUAAAACACACCUCCAUCCCAAAGGCUACCCGCCUCCAAGGUGCCACCACUCCUAGUUGAGUCUGCACCCUGAAUUGUUUGUAAGCUGUGCCUUUAAAUGCGAGGUGAGAGAAUUUUACAUCAACCCUAACAGAGGUAUUUAUGACUAAAGGCACUGAAACUCCACCUUGAAGCUUAAAAAAAAAAGGUAUAAAAGUGGCUAAAAAAAGGGAGUUUAUUGAGGAAGACGCCAUUGUGAACAAGUCAGGGAAGCUCCCUUGCAAACUGCCUGUGGCUCCUGGAUUCAGCUGACAGACUGGGCCUCUCUUCCUCCCCGCUUGGGGACACCUUGGACAGUGACUGUCGCUAGCAACCCCUAAGAACCAGUGUCUCUGUUGCGUGAAUAAAACUACACAGUUUCAGUAGCCAGUCCUCACAGUUUCCCACUGAAUGAAACCAAACCCUGGAGUGUGGCCGUGCUGGUUCAUGACUGGACUGAAGGUGCAGCCCACUAUCAGGGAAUCCAGUCGUGAUAGUUCACAGGAGGUGAACGUGACUGGACUGAUUGUGGCAAACUGGUCAUCACUCGGGAUGUAAACCUAGACACACCUGACCUCCCACCUUGGUGAGGAGAGUUAGAACACAAGGGGAGUUAUUUUCUGCCAAACCACUCUGUCCCCUUUUAAUGCAACACCCUUGUUGAGCCUCAUGAGGUUCCUCUCUGCCCACUGUUCAUGACUUCAUAAGGACUGUGCUCUGAUCAUCACCAACAGCUUGACGGUGUGGGCCUGGUUAAUUUAGAUGUGUGGUUUGUUAAUGACUGUGUUCUUGCAGAAGGAUUGGUACCUAAUAAGGAUGGAACUCCCUGCCCUGCUAGGUGCCAGAGGAUGGGUGAUAGUUUACUCAAUCUCCGUGCAAGGCAGAGGACUCACUAAAUGCAAUAACAGUAUGUGUUUUGUAAGAUUUUGUGUAAACACAUCGCAGGAUGUAUUUAUCCAGUGGGUUGUUUGGUGUGCUGCUUUGUGGAGCUCCCCACUAGCACUCCUCACAGGAUCACAGGAUCUUGAGGGCUGACAGGGACCUUGAAAGAUCCGUCUCUGCCCAGGCAUGAUGUAAAGCAGGAUCUCCACUCUGUGUAGAUUGGCUUCAUGCACAGCGGGCAUGAAUCCACAUUUCCACAAAGAGAGAAGCACACCCUGCUGUGCCAGAACUCGUGCCCUCGCAGUCCCCCUUGCACUGCACUUUCUUCAGCCUCAAAAAAGACCACAAAGCAGCAUAAGGAGGUUUUCCUGCUACUUGUUUCUUCCAGCCAACGUUUCUGUGUUUCCUGGAGAGGAUGUGUAACAAAACCAGCUACCAACAGCGUAAGAAAAAAUAUCUUUGUUAUUAUGAAUACAUCAUAAAAUCACAGUCAUUUUAUACACAUUUUAGUAUUCCAUAUACUUUAUAUAAAUAAAGUGGACAGCAUAGUUA